AUCACUUCUUGGCCUUUUGGCUAAGAUCAAGUGUAAUACAAUUUAUUUUUCAAAACAGCAAAGCAUAGUAUUGGGUUGCAUAGUUUUUGGUCUUGAUUUUAGAGUACAUAUAUUCCUGGGCUCACUUUA
rnacentral:snRNA from 1 species